CCUAGGAUUCACUCUGUGAACUUAUGAUCCUCCUGCCUCAGCCUCCAGAGUAACUGGGAUCACAACUUCACAACUGUGUGAACACUGUGCCCAGUUCCCUUGCAACACAGUUGUGAAAGGUCCCUAGUAAAGCCUAGGAACAAGGUCUGAUCCCCAAGCCCUCAAGGAAGGCUUCCUAAAGGGCAUGUUGGAUUGGGCUUUGAAGGAUGGGUAGGGGUUUGCAUAGGGCUUGGCUGGGUGUUUCCUCCAGCUCUGCUUCUCCUGGCUAAGGAUGCCACCUGGCACCCGGGGCAAUUCUCAAGAAGGAAGUAAUGUUCAUCUGGUGCUAAAAGUGACUUGAAACUGACAGAGUGGCAGGUGCAAACCGUAACACCUGCUACUGUCCCCAAGAGGACACAAGAAGAUCCCUUCUCUGUCUAUUUUAAUUCUUGUAUACGAACCUCUUCCUAAUAUCGCUCACAGACUCCCCGAGAUUCCAGUCAGCGGUAGACAGGUCAGAAUACAGAGAAAGAGACAGGAGUAGGGAGGGUCUUGCUCUGCAGCCCAAGAUGGACACGAAGUCACUGAGCAGUCUCAGGCCACCCAGACCUCAUAAGCCUCCUGCCUCAGCACUUCAGCUCUAGGAUUACAAGGAAAGUGUGGCUCUGUGGUCCAGCCUUCCUAUUUCGCAGCAACUGUUUGAAGCGGGUGUCUUCAAAUGUUCGAGACACUUGACUUAGAAACGCAAAAAGAAGCGGCUGGCAGACCUUGAAGUGUACACCUUGCUUCCUGGACUCGGCGGGAGGCUUGGCAGCUGUCACUGGUUCUCCUGGGAGAGUGAGCAGCUGAGGAAAUCCCAGAGGCCUGGAAACCUGGCUUGUUUACAGGGGUCUUGUUUACAGGUCGGAACAGGAAGCUCUGGUUGUACAUUGAUUGGGGGUAGAGUUACCAGGGAGUGGACUUGUGCCCAGCUGCUGGAGAAAGGGAAAACCUGGUUUGUUUUUUUUACAGAUUAAUAUCACCCUUGUUUGCUCACUUCCCAUGGCUAGAAGUUCUUGGAAGCCUUUUCCAGGAAGAAGAGGAACAAAGAACACGAAGCCUCAUUUCUGCUGGCUCUCCUCUAAAGUGUCUUUAUUUACACAGAGACAUGCAGGAGGCUGUGCGAAAUAAGUCACCAGGAGGAACAAUGGCCAAGAAAUAUGGACACAAGCCAAGCCCUGUGAACAUUUGCCAUUCUCCUUUCCUGUUAGUCCUGCAAGCCCAAAGCUAUUCACGGUAUAGGCAAAUGUCCUGUCCCUGAGGUGGUUUUGCCAGCCUGGGCUAUGCCUGUCAAAGGAGAGAGAUGAGGUUCUGAGAGGUCAAACACAGUCACCCCUGGGAUUCAAACCUGAUUCCAGGCAACUGUAGCUUUUGUGCAGAGUCCUGCAGGUUACACAGGCACGGAAGGGAGUAGAGCCUGCUCUUUGGUGGCAACACUUCUCCAAUGACCUGUGCUUUUGGUUCUAGGGAUGGAGCCGACCGGACCCCACACAUGCCCAGCAGACAGGUAUCAUGGCCUACUGUUGCUUAUUAAACAGCCUCUGUUCCCUCCCUAUUAAACAGACACCGAAAACUGAGCGAGGGUGUCUCAAACAAGCAAGAGAAUGCUCCUUUCCGUCUUCUUUGUUCCCAUCUUUUGGUGGCAGAUAUAGUCUGGUGGAGCCCAGGUGACCUUUGCGAAGUAAACAAAAGCCCAGAGCCAGCAGAGCCCACACCCAGCUGAGCAAACAGCAUAUGGAGGCCACUGUAGGGCUCGCUCGCUCUCAGGCAUGGUCUGCCAUAGAGAGCUGCCCAGGAAAAGGGGCUCAAGGUCUGAGAGCUCAUGAGGAUCAAGAGUUGCUUAAAGAGAAAAAAAAAAAAUGUUCUCAAGUACCCCAGGCUAGCCUUGGACCCAUUACGUAGCCAAGGAUGACCUUAAACUUCCGGUCCUCCAACUGUCCCUCCCCAGUGCUGGGAUUACAGGACCCCACCAGCACCCCGGUCGAAGCAGUGUUGGGAAUGAGACCCGGUGUUUCCUGCAUAUUAGGCAAGCACGCUACCAACUGAGCUCACCCUGACUUCCGUUAUUUCCAGCAAACAGCCCUGUGUGUGGCUCAUCUCUGGAGUGGAGGGAGCCAGCUGGUUAGUGGGUGAGUUCUUGGGCUACAGAAGCCGCUGAGCAUGAGCAGCGAUCUUCAGAUACAGGGUGGAGUCUAGUUGCUGGGUUCAAACACUAGUGUGUGGUCCCUACACGCUGUGACCCAAGGCUGUCUCAGCUGCUUUCCUCGGCUUCUGUUUUCUUGUCAGGGACCAACAGAGAGACUUCCCGGGGGUUGGCAAGUAGAGUUCAAAGUCCUCAUAGAGUUCUAGAAUACACUAUCACACAAGGUCUUUUCUUUUGAUUCUCACCCCUCCCCUCCCACACACUUUUUUUUUUCUGGGAGGUUGAGGCAGGAGGAUCACUAUGAGUUCAAGACCAUCUGGGCUACAUUCUGAGCUCUUGGCCAAAGUAGCCCUACCUCAAAGUAAAAAAAAAGGCAAGUGUUAUGGUUCACACCUGUUACCUCAACACUUGGGAGGUAAAGGCAGGAAUUAUCUACUCAAGGUUAUCCUUGAGUUGAAUACCAGCCUGGUUUUCCUGAGACCUGUUUCAAAGCAACAGUAACCCACCACGAGAGUUAUCCGUGAUUUUGAGGGCUGAGGUACAGCUUAGGAGUAGAGCAUACACCCAGCCGGAAUGAGGCCUCAGAUCCAAUCCCUAGUUCUGUGCCCCUACUUAAAAGAUCUUCUGGGGCUGGAGAGAUGGCUCAGCGGUUGAGAGCACUGACUGCUCUUCCAGAGGUCCUGAGUUCAAUUCCCAGCAACCACAUGGUGGCUCACAACCAUCUGUGAUAGGAUCCUAUGCCUCUUCUGGUGUGUCUGAAAGGAGUGACAGUGUAUUCACAUAUAUCAAUAAUUUGGUUUUUUUUUUAAUCUUCUAAUUCUUUAAACGUUUGCUGAGCUCCUGCACGGGAUGCUAGGCUCUGUGCUAGACUUGUGGAUUUGUCUCAAAGAGUUCACAGUCCAGGCUGGAAAGAGCUACAGCAGUUAAGAGCUGGCUGCCCUUCUAGAGGACCAGAUUCUGGUUAGACUUCCAGCACUCACAUGGCGCCAUCUGUAACUCCAGUUCCCGAGAAGCUGACGCCCUCUCCUGGUCUUCUCGGGUACUGCAUGCACAGGGUGCACAGACACACAGAAACAGUCCAGGAGGAGCCACACAGGAUGGUGGCACAGAGUAAGACAAUCAGGAACCUGCACUAAGACUUCAGUGGCUACCUCAGAGUCGCACUCACAGCAAGAAACAUGGAGGAGGCUGACUUCCGUUGUGUAGAGUGCACAUUCAGAUAACCUCAGGCGGUUCACAUCCCUCCUCCAAGUGUUUUUCCUCCUGUGAAGCUUUGCGGACCAACCUGGCCAACAGAGUAAGACUGUCCACCGAGCACUAACGUGGUUUAGGUCUUACGGCUGUGGCCCCAUCUACAGUCAAUCGACUCAGGUAGAGCAGGAGAUCUGAGCAGGCUUCUGCCGGCCAGGAAAGGCCUUUUUGUGGGGCAGAACUGAGGACUCACGUGCUUCCCGCACACCAAGUGGCAAAAGCACAGAGGGAAGGCAUGGAGGGACCCUUGAGACCCUUGAUCAGCCCUCCCCUCCACUCGGGUUCAGGAGAAGGCCAAGCAAUUUUCUUCUAGGUCCUAAAGACUGUAUUAGAGGCAUGGCGACAGCACCUUCAACCCUGCAUGUCGUGGACAGAGCGAGUGAGACACACAGGGUCAAAUUUAAAUGGCAACAAAAACAAAAACAAACCAAAACAACAAAAAAGCACUUCAAUAGCCAAAACAAAAACCAACAGAAUCUUUCCUUCUUUAAAACAAUCUCCUGUGUGAGUGUGUGUGAGUGUGUGUGUGUGGUAUGUGUGUGAGUGUGUGUGUGCACGAAGUGUGUGAGUACAGGCACCCAUGUGUGAUGGUCAGAAGACAACUUUGGGUGUGGUCUUUCCCGUCCGCAUCGUCUGAAACUGGGUCUUUAACUCACUGCUGCAACUCAGGCUGGCCCUUAUCUCUGCUGCCCGCCCCACCUCCGCGCAGCCGCACUGGGGCCACAGUCCUGAGGGAGUGCGUUCUUUUUACGUAGGUUCUGAGAUUCAGAUUCAGGUCUUCACAUUUGAAUGCUGACAUUUCCCCAGCCCUGGGGAAACGUGUACGUUGAAGAGGCAUUUCUAAAAUGAUGCAGGAAACCAUAUGAUGCCAUUGUGGGCUGGUGAGGUGGCUCAGCCCAUACGUCUGCCGAGCCUCACGACCCUAAUUCAACUCUCAAAACCCUCAUGGUAAGAGGAGAGACCUGAGGCCCAGAACGUGCCCUCUGACCUCCACACACAUGUUUUACCCAUACCCACCCCAAAGCAAUAAAAAUAUAAAUUUAGGGGCUGGAGAGAUGGCUCAGCGGUUAAGAGCGCCCGACUGCUCUUCCAGAGGUCAUGAGUUCAAUUCCCAGCAACCACAUGGUGGCUCACAACCAUCUGUAAAGAGAUCUGAUGCCCUCUUCUGGUGUGUCUGAAGACAGCUACAGUGUACUUAUAUAUAAUAAAUAAAUAAAUCUUUA